rnacentral:rRNA from 1 species
AAUCAACGCUGGCGGCGUGCCUAACACAUGCAAGUCGAACGCGAAAGUCCCGCAAGGGGCAAGUAGAGUGGCAAACGGGUGAGUAACACGUGGGUGACCUGCCUUCGAGUGGGGGAUAACGUCCCGAAAGGGACGCUAAUACCGCAUAACAUCCUGCCUUUGAAGAGGCGGACAUCAAAGCCGGGGACCGCAAGGCCUGGCGCUUGAAGAGGGGCCCGCGCCUGAUUAGCUAGUUGGGGGGUAAUGGCUCACCAAGGCAUCGAUCAGUAUCCGGCCUGAGAGGGCGGACGGACACACUGGGACUGAGACACGGCCCAGACUCCUACGGGAGGCAGCAGUGGGGAAUAUUGGACAAUGGGCGCAAGCCUGAUCCAGCAAUGCCGCGUGAGUGAGGAAGGCCUUAGGGUUGUAAAGCUCUUUCGCACGCGACGAUGAUGACGGUAGCGUGAGAAGAAGCCCGGCUAACUUCGUGCCAGCCGCCGCAGUAAG